rnacentral:tRNA from 1 species
GUGGUGGGUGGCCGAUUGGCGGGCCCAGGCGCUGGAGGCGCCGGCGGCCGAAUUGCCCGUUGAAGAAACGGGUCGCUACGC